rnacentral:rRNA from 1 species
UACAGAGGGUGCAAGCGUUGUUCGGAAUUAUUGGGCGUAAAGCGCGUGUAGGCGGCUUUGCAAGUCGGGUGUGAAAUCCCUCAGCUUAACUGAGGAAGUGCGCCCGAAACUGCAGAACUUGAGUGCCGGAGAGGGUGGCGGAAUUCCUGGUGUAGAGGUGAAAUUCGUAGAUAUCAGGAGGAACACCGGUGGCGAAGGCGGCCACCUGGACGGUUACUGACGCUGAGACGCGAAAGCGUGGGGAGCAAACAGG